AAAAAGAAAAAAAAAAAUUGAUAAAGGUGAGGGAGCGGUGGAAGAAGGCAAUCAAGCCGUCUUUGUGGGGGCGACAGAAGAAGGAGAAGCGAAAUAGAGAUAUAGAAAGAGACGAUAGAGAAUUCAAGACUCCAUCGCCCUUCCUUAUUUGAGAGGGCGGAGAGCGAGAGAGGCCGAAGCAGAGAGAGAGAGAGAGAGAGGGGAAGAGGUGAGGCCGGUAGCUGUCAUUACAACUUUCUUUAGAUCUUCAACCGACCUGCAACCGGCAACUCGCAAGACUUCCGAUCGGAGCAACGGCGGCAGCGAUGGCUUCAAGGAAGGGUCGAACACAGGCGGCAGCCUUACCUGCAGCAGCGCCGCCUCUGCCGCCGGGAAUGGAGACGCGUUUCCGAGGCGUACGCAAGCGGCCAUGGGGUCGCUUCGCCGCCGAGAUCCGGGAUCCUGGUAAGAAGACGAGAGUCUGGCUUGGCACCUUCGACUCCGCGGAAGAUGCUGCACGCGCCUACGACACCGCCGCGCGUGCCUUACGCGGACCUAAGGCAAAGACCAACUUUUCCGCUAUUCCUUCCCACGCUUCUACGCUCGGCGGUGGAUCCGGAUCCGGAUCGGUCCCCCUUUCCUUUUUCCAUCAACAGCUGCCGCCGCCCGCGAGACCGGCAACGAGCAGUCUGAGCAGCACGGUGGAGUCGUUCAGUGGCCCGCGGCUCUCCGUGCCACCGGCGAUCUAUUUACGGCAGCUGGUGCAGCCGGCGCCUCCACGGGUGCUUGAUGGUGACCAGGACUGCCAUAGCGAUUGCGGCUCCUCGUCUUCGGUAGUCGAUGAUGGGGACAUCGCAUCUGCGUACAGGCAGCCCUUUCCUUUCGAUCUCAACCUUUUACCACCUCCGGAUGAUGAACUGCAGAGCACAGCUCUCCAUCUCUGAGGCAUAACUGAGAAUACAAAUUGGAUUUAUCAGAUCUAUCUAGGGUUCUGAUCAGUUCGGAUCUGGAGCUUUAUAUUGGAUCUAUUUUUCACUUAUUGUUCUAUGAUGUCCUUCUCUUCCGCAUCUUAUCAUGUACAAAUUUUAAUCCAUCUAGUAGAAUGAAUGAGAUGAAUCAAAAAAGCUGGAAACCAACCGAUCUGAUUUUAGAGGUCAUACAAGGCUGGGUCUUUUGUUUUCUGCUGAUUUUUAUGUCUCUGCUUUAUGAACAUGGUGACGGAUAGAGAGGGAAUGGUGCUGGCGGCGUGGUUAGGAGCUUGGGGUCCAUGGAACUGAUUUGUAGAGGUGUCCAUGGUGAUGCAUUCUUUGGAAGGUUCAUGGUAUCACAAAUUUAAUGCUAACCAAUAGCUUAUCACUUCUACCCUUGGAUUCAAUUUGGACAAAGUUAAUGGAGUUUGUUCUCCAAAACCUAAUUUGAUUCAUUCAUGUGUUGUUUUUCUUUGCCAUGAAACAGAUCAUGGAUUCAUUUCUGAACUUUUCUUUUUGUUUGCUUGGAUUAAUGACCUUUAAAAUGAUCUAAAAUUGGCCAAA